rnacentral:rRNA from 1 species
AGAGUUUGAUCCUGGCUCAGGACGAACGCUGGCGGCGUGCCUAAUACAAGCAAGUCGAGCGGAGCAGGAAGCGAGCGUAAGCAAGCAGAGAGCUUAGCGGCGAACGGGUGAGUAACACGUAGGUAACCUAGCGAUAAGACAGGGAUAACUUUCGGAAACGGGAGCUAAUACCAGAUAGUCUUUUCCUUCGCAUGAGGGAAAAGGGAAAGGCGGAGCAAUCUGCCGCUUAUGGAUGGACCUGCGGCGCAUUAGCUAGUUGGAGAGGUAACGGCUGACCAAGGCGACGAUGCGUAUCCGACCUGAGAGGGUGAGCGGACACACUGGGACUGAGACACGGCCCAGACUCCUACGGGAGGCAGCAGUAGGGAAUCUUCCGCAAUGGACGAAAGUCUGACGGAGCAACGCCGCGUGAGUGAAGAAGGUUUUCGGAUCGUAAAGCUCUGUUGCUAGGGAAGAAAACUAUGGAGAGUAACUGCUCGAUAGAAGACGGUACCUAAGAAGAAAGCCCCGGCUAACUACGUGCCAGCAGCCGCGGUAAUACGUAGGGGGCAAGCGUUGUCCGGAAUGAUUGGGCGUAAAGGGCGCGUAGGCGGUAAAGUAAGUUGAGUGUAUAACCCUAGGGCUCAACCUUAGGUGG